rnacentral:rRNA from 1 species
UACAGAGGUCUCAAGCGUUGUUCGGAUUCAUUAGGCGUAAAGGGUGCGUAGGCGGCGCGGUAAGUCGGGUGUGAAAUCUCGGAGCUUAACUCCGAAACUGCAUUCGAUACUGCCGUGCUUGAGGACUGGAGAGGAGACUGGAAUUUACGGUGUAGCGGUGAAAUGCGUAGAUAUCGUAAGGAAGACCAGUGGCGAAGGCGGGUCUCUGGACAGUUCCUGACGCUGAGGCACGAAGGUCAGGGGGAGCAAACGGG